CUUAACGAAUCGCAUGGCUUGCGCCGGGAUGGUUCAUUCAAAUUUCUGCCCUAUCAACUUUCGAUGGUAGGAUAGUGGCCUACCAUGGUGAGUCGAACGGGUAACGGGGAAUUAGGGUUCUAUUCCGGAGAGGGAGCCUGAGAAACGGCUACCACAUCCAAGGAAGGCAGCAGGCGCGCAAAUUACCCAAUCCCGAUACGGGGAGGUAGUGACAAUAAAUAACAAUACAGGGCUUUCUAGUCUUGUGAAUUGGAAUGAGUACAAUUUAAAUCCCUUAACGAGGAACAAUUGGAGGGCAAGUCUGGUGCCAGCAGCCGCGGUAAUUCCAGCUCCAAUAGCGUAUAUUAAAGUUGUUGCAGUUAAAAAGCUCGUAGUUGAAUUUUAGGCCUGGUUGGACGGUCUGCCUUUGGUUUGUACUGUCCUGACUGGGUCUUACCUUCUGGUGAGCUGUCGUGUUGUUUACUCAGUGCGGCAGGGAACCAGGACUUUUACUUUGAAAAAAUUAGAGUGUUUAAAGCAGGCAUUCGUUGAAUACAUUAGCAUGGAAUAAUAGAAUAGGACUUUGGUUCUAUUGUGGUUUCUAGGAACGAAGUAAUGAUUAAUUAGGGAUAGUUGGGGGGCAAUAGUAUUUAAUUG
rnacentral:rRNA from 1 species